AGAGUUUGAUCCUGGCUCAGGAUGAACGCUGGCGGCGUGCUUAACACAUGCAAGUCGAACGAGCCUUCGGGCUAGUGGCGGACGGGUGAGUAACGCGUGGGAAUCUGCCCUCAGGAGGGGGAUAACGGCCGGAAACGGCCGCUAAUACCCCAUAUGCCGAGAGGUGAAAUGAAUUUCGCCUGAGGAUGAGCCCGCGUCUGAUUAGCUAGUUGGUGGGGUAAUGGCCCACCAAGGCGACGAUCAGUAGCUGGUCUGAGAGGAUGAUCAGCCACACUGGGACUGAGACACGGCCCAGACUCCUACGGGAGGCAGCAGUGGGGAAUUUUCCGCAAUGGGCGAAAGCCUGACGGAGCAACGCCGCGUGAGGGAUGAAGGCCUCUGGGCUGUAAACCUCUUUCCUCAAGGAAGAAGACAUGACGGUACUUGAGGAAUAAGCCACGGCUAAUUCCGUGCCAGCAGCCGCGGUAAUACGGGAGUGGCAAGCGUUAUCCGGAAUUAUUGGGCGUAAAGCGUCCGCAGGCGGCCUUGUAAGUCUGUCGUUAAAGCGUGGAGCUUAACUCCAUUUAAGCGAUGGAAACUACAAGGCUUGAGUGUGGUAGGGGCAGAGGGAAUUCCCGGUGUAGCGGUGAAAUGCGUAGAUAUCGGGAAGAACACCAGUGGCGAAGGCGCUCUGCUGGGCCAUAACUGACGCUCAUGGACGAAAGCCAGGGGAGCGAAAGGGAUUAGAUACCCCUGUAGUCCUGGCCGUAAACGAUGAACACUAGGUGUCGGGGGAAUCGACCCCCUCGGUGUCGUAGCUAACGCGUUAAGUGUUCCGCCUGGGGAGUACGCACGCAAGUGUGAAACUCAAAGGAAUUGACGGGGGCCCGCACAAGCGGUGGAGUAUGUGGUUUAAUUCGAUGCAACGCGAAGAACCUUACCAGGGUUUGACAUCCUGCGAAUCCCUUGGAAACGAGGGAGUGCCUUCGGGAGCGCAGAGACAGGUGGUGCAUGGCUGUCGUCAGCUCGUGUCGUGAGAUGUUGGGUUAAGUCCCGCAACGAGCGCAACCCACGUCUUUAGUUGCCAGCAUUCAGUUGGGCACUCUAGAGAGACCGCCGGUGAUAAACCGGAGGAAGGUGUGGAUGACGUCAAGUCAUCAUGCCCCUUACAUCCUGGGCUACACACGUACUACAAUGCUACGGACAAAGGGUUGCAAGCUCGCGAGAGUUAGCUAAUCCCAUAAACCGUGGCUCAGUUCAGAUCGUAGGCUGCAACUCGCCUACGUGAAGGAGGAAUCGCUAGUAAUCGCAGGUCAGCAUACUGCGGUGAAUACGUUCCCGGGCCUUGUACACACCGCCCGUCACACCAUGGAAGUUGGCCAUGCCCGAAGUCGUUACUCCAACCCUUGUGGAGGAGGACGCCGAAGGUGGGGCUGAUGACUGGGGUGAAGUCGUAACAAG
rnacentral:rRNA from 1 species